GAGGGUACAGCUCAAGUGGUAGAGCACAUGCUUAGCAUGCAUGAGGUCCUGGGUUCAAUCCCCCGUACCUCCA
rnacentral:tRNA from 1 species